rnacentral:rRNA from 1 species
AUUGAACGCUGGCGGCAUGCCUUACACAUGCAAGUCGAACGGUAACAGGUCUUCGGAUGCUGACGAGUGGCGAACGGGUGAGUAAUACAUCGGAACGUGCCUAGUAGUGGGGGAUAACUACUCGAAAGAGUGGCUAAUACCGCAUGAGAUCUACGGAUGAAAGCAGGGGAUCGCAAGACCUUGUGCUACUAGAGCGGCCGAUGGCAGAUUAGGUAGUUGGUGGGAUAAAAGCUUACCAAGCCGACGAUCUGUAGCUGGUCUGAGAGGACGAUCAUCACCGCCGGGACUGAGACACGGCCCAGACUGCUACGGGAGGCAGCGGUGGGGAAUGUUGGACAAUGGGCGCAAGCCUGAUCCAGCAAUGCCGCGUGCAGGAUGAAGGCCUUCGGGUUGUAAACUGCUUUUGUACGGAACGAAAAGCCCUGGGUUAAUACCCUGGGGUCAUGACGGUACCGUAAGAAUAAGCACCGGCUAACUACGUGCCAGCCGCCGCGGUAA